rnacentral:rRNA from 1 species
UACGUAGGGUGCAAGCGUUAAUCGGAAUUACUGGGCGUAAAGCGUACGCAGGCGGCUUUGCAAGACAGGUGUGAAAUCCCCGGGCUUAACCUGGGAACUGCGCUUGUUACUGGCAGGCUGGAGUGUGGCAGAGGGGGGUGGAAUUCCACGUGUAGCAGUGAAAUGCGUAGAGAUGUGGAGGAACACCGAUGGCGAAGGCAGCCCCCUGGGCUAACACUGACGCUCAUGCACGAAAGCGUGGGGAGCAAACAGG